GCACUCUGGUUUCUCUCCAGAGCACAUAAAUCUUUCGCCUGUUACUAAAGAUUUCCAUGGAGAGAGACCAAACAAAACAACAAGAGUGGCGGGCUUCUUCCUAUGCUGACUCAGCGA